GAAAGACGCGCAUUUGUUAUCAUCAUCCCUGACUUCAGAGAUGAAAUGUUUGGCCACAGUGAUGUGGCCUUUU
rnacentral:sRNA from 1 species